rnacentral:rRNA from 1 species
GUAGGGGGCAAGCGUUAUCCGGAUUUACUGGGUGUAAAGGGUACGUAGGCGGCCUCAUAAGUCUGUGGUUUAAGCCCGAAGCUUAACUUCGGUUCGCCACAGAAACUGUUUGGCUUGAGUAUGGUAGAGGCAAGUGGAAUUUCUAGUGUAGCGGUUAAAUGCGUAGAUAUUAGAAGGAACACCAGUGGCGAAGGCGACUUGCUGGGCCAUUACUGACGCUGAGGUACGAAAGCGUGGGGAGCAAAUAGGAUUAGAUACCCUAGUAGUCCACGCCGUAAACGUUGGAUACUAAGUGUCGGAGUUUCCGGUGCUGAAGUUAACACAUUAAGUAUCCCACCUGAGUAGUACGGUCGCAAGGCUG